rnacentral:tRNA from 1 species
GGAUGGUUAGUCUCAGUUGGUAGAGCGCUGCCUUCACACGGCAGAGGUCACUGGUUCGAGUCCAGUACCACCCACCA